rnacentral:rRNA from 1 species
GACGAACGCUGGCGGCGUGCCUAAUACAUGCAAGUAGAACGCUGAAGGAGGAGCUUGCUCUUCUGGAUGAGUUGCGAACGGGUGAGUAACGCGUAGGUAACCUGCCUGGUAGCGGGGGAUAACUAUUGGAAACGAUAGCUAAUACCGCAUAAGAGUAGAUGUUGCAUGACAUUUGCUUAAAAGGUGCAAUUGCAUCACUACCAGAUGGACCUGCGUUGUAUUAGCUAGUUGGUGGGGUAACGGCUCACCAAGGCGACGAUACAUAGCCGACCUGAGAGGGUGAUCGGCCACACUGGGACUGAGACACGGCCCAGACUCCUACGGGAGGCAGCAGUAGGGAAUCUUCGGCAAUGGACGGAAGUCUGACCGAGCAACGCCGCGUGAGUGAAGAAGGUUUUCGGAUCGUAAAGCUCUGUUGUAAGAGAAGAACGAGUGUGAGAGUGGAAAGUUCACACUGUGACGGUAUCUUACCAGAAAGGGACGGCUAACUACGUG